GGAUGGGUGGCCGAGUGGUUUAAGGCGCCAGUCUUGAAAACUGGAGUGCGGGGAACUGUACCGGGGGUUCGAAUCCCUCCCCAUCCGCCA
rnacentral:tRNA from 1 species